UACAGAGGCCUCGAGCGUUAGGCGGAAUCACUGGGCUUAAAGCGUGUGUAGGCGGAGUUCUAAGUACCUUGUGAAAUCCCACCGCUCACCGGUGGAACUGCUGGGUAUACUGGAUCUCUUGAGCCACGUUGGGCUACCGGAACAAAUGGUGGAGCGGUGAAAUGGCGUAGAUAUCAAUUUGGAACGCCAAUGGUGAAAACAGGUAGCUGGGAGUGUGCUGACGCUGAGACACGAAAGCCCAGGGGAGCGAACGGG
rnacentral:rRNA from 1 species